rnacentral:rRNA from 1 species
AGAGUUUGAUCCUGGCUCAGGAUGAACGCUGGCGGCGUGCUUAACACAUGCAAGUCGAACGAAGCACUUUAUUUGAUUUCCUUCGGGACUGAUUAUUUUGUGACUGAGUGGCGGACGGGUGAGUAACGCGUGGGUAACCUGCCUUGUACAGGGGGAUAACAGUUGGAAACGGCUGCUAAUACCGCAUAAGCGCACGGCAUCGCAUGAUGCAGUGUGAAAAACUCCGGUGGUAUAAGAUGGACCCGCGUUGGAUUAGCUAGUUGGUGAGGUAACGGCCCACCAAGGCGACGAUCCAUAGCCGACCUGAGAGGGUGACCGGCCACAUUGGGACUGAGACACGGCCCAAACUCCUACGGGAGGCAGCAGUGGGGAAUAUUGCACAAUGGGGGAAACCCUGAUGCAGCGACGCCGCGUGAGCGAAGAAGUAUUUCGGUAUGUAAAGCUCUAUCAGCAGGGAAGAUAAUGACGGUACCUGACUAAGAAGCACCGGCUAAAUACGUGCCAGCAGCCGCGGUAAUACGUAUGGUGCAAGCGUUAUCCGGAUUUACUGGGUGUAAAGGGAGCGCAGGCGGUGCGGCAAGUCUGAUGUGAAAGCCCGGGGCUCAACCCCGGUACUGCAUUGGAAACUGUCGUACUAGAGUGUCGGAGGGGUAAGUGGAAUUCCUAGUGUAGCGGUGAAAUGCGUAGAUAUUAGGAGGAACACCAGUGGCGAAGGCGGCUUACUGGACGAUAACUGACGCUGAGGCUCGAAAGCGUGGGGAGCAAACAGGAUUAGAUACCCUGGUAGUCCACGCCGUAAACG